UCUAUUGCCCAGACUAGAGUGCAAUGGGGUCAUCACAGUUCACUACAACCUCAAACUCCUGGGGUCAAGUGA